rnacentral:rRNA from 1 species
AUUUCUUCGGAGAGUUUGAUCCUGGCUCAGGAUGAACGCUGGCGGCGUGCCUAAUACAUGCAAGUCGAGCGAACUGAUUAGAAGCU